rnacentral:rRNA from 1 species
GGAGUUAGCCGGUGCUUCUUCUGCGAGUAACGUCACAGAUGUAAGGUAUUAACUUACACCCUUUCCUCCUCGCUGAAAGUGCUUUACAACCCGAAGGCCUUCUUCACACACGCGGCAUGGCUGCAUCAGGGUUUCCCCCAUUGUGCAAUAUUCCCCACUGCUGCCUCCCGUAGGAGUCUGGGCCGUGUCUCAGUCCCAGUGUGGCUGAUCAUCCUCUCAGACCAGCUAGGGAUCGUCGCCUAGGUGAGCCUUUACCUCACCUACUAGCUAAUCCCACCUGGGCUUAUCCAUCAGCGCAAGGCCCGAAGGUCCCCUGCUUUCCCCCGUAGGGCGUAUGCGGUAUUAGCAGUCGUUUCCAACUGUUAUCCCCCACAAAUGGGCAAAUUCCCAGGCAUUACUCACCCGUCCGCCGCUCGUCAUCUUCAAAAGCAAGCUUUUGAAAUGUUACCGCUCGACUUGCAUGUGUUAGGCCUGCCGCCAGCGUUCAAUCUGAGCCAGUAANACACCAACGUCUAGACGNGGACGCGGGCGAGGCGACGACG